AUUUCUGGUUCCCUCCUUCCUGGAUCUCGUGCGCCCCGUAUGGAUUCCUGGUUGCAUCAUAUUCCCCUUCCAUUUUCUAGAGUUAACACUUUCAAUUUCCCUCAUAGAUCUCGAUUUCUGCUGUUCUAGUGUUUCGGUAGUUAUCCCCCUAAUAGUUGUGUAGUGUGCCUCGGUAUGUGCUUUUCUAGGAUUUUCUCUUGUCUUUAGCUGUGAUUUGCACCUGUGCUAUGCUGAUUUAUAAUUAGGCUUCUGAAAUGUUAUGAUAGAAUCUGAUGAUUGUGAUAGAACCAUUACUUCAUUUUUCUUGUGUCAUCAUGUUAGCUUUUUAGGUAGCCCCUGUUCAACCAGCCAACUACAAAGUCUGAAAAUGAAAUAUGAUCCCAGGAACACUACAUCGUUUCUUCAUUGUAAAAUCACAAUCCUUAUUUAAGCAGAAGUUAAUGUGAGGUUGAAUUUUAUAAGCUAUUACACGAGACAAUGUCCAAUGAAAUAUAACCAUUUUGACAUUUGUUAGCACGUCUAUGCAAAAUGUGCUCUUGGAGAUUUGAAGUAGGACUGGUUUCUAAAUCGUAUGAUCCCUUUUAUCUUGUGCAUUGCAUAUGGUGUCUCUCUAUGUAGUGUUUCUACUUUAUCUUAUCUUUCUUAUCUGAAAUUGGUUGUCCAUAUAUUUGGCUAAAAUUGACACUGCCUGAAAUUUUAAUUUGUAAUCUUAAUUAUAGUUUGAAUUCUAUCUCUUACAAUAUGAAUUUUAGUGUAAUUUGUGCAUAAGACAACUAUGAGAUCAUUGAUCUCUAUUUUUCACAGUAUUUUAUAGUGUUAUUUUUUUCAUUUCUGAAAUUCCAAAGAUAAUGUAUGUGCCAUGUAUGUGGCCCAUUUGCCUUGUGAUUCUACUUUCACCAUUCUUUUUGUGUUGGGGCUAGAAGGGUGUCAUUUUAUCCCAUUAGUUCUUAUUGUAGUUACUAGAUGUGUCCUUACUAAUUGUAUUGUGUGUUCCCUUGUUUCUUUUUUUUCCCUAAGUGGAGAUAGAAAAAAAAUCACUCCACCUCCAAUGCAAAGGGCCAGGUUCUUUUUUUUUGCAAGCAAGGUAUUUUCAAGUUUCUUUCCUGAUUAUAGUUUAAAUAUGUUUUAGUUACAUAGAAUGAUUUUGUUGUAUCUUUAUAUUCAUGCUCGUUGUAAAUUUUUAGAUUGAGGGUUAUAAUCAAUCCUGUUGCAAUAUAAGUGAAUUGCCCACCUCUCCCAAUCAGCUUAAGCUUUUGGGUCGAAUUGGUUGGUGCAUGCAACUCAAUAUGGUAUCAAAGUCAGAGAUCUCGAGUUCGAAUCCUGGUUAGUGCAAUUAAAUAAAAUAAUUGUUGCUCGCUCCUAUUCCACGUCUGAGGUCUGAGGGAGUCUCCACGUGAGGGGGAGUAUUGGAAUAUAAGUGAAUUGCCCACCUCUCCCCAUCAGCUUAAGCUUUUGGGUUGAAUUGGUUGGUGCAUGUAACUUCUUUUUGAUGUAAGUAGUGCUCCUUUUUGGACAUUUAUUCGUUAUUUUUGUUGUGUGACCCUACUUUGGAGCUGUUGAACUUCUUUUUUAUUAAUUAGAGCGGCUUACUACUGUACUUACAGCAUAGAUUUUGAUGUAUCUUGUGUAUGGUCACUAUAAUUUUUUUUAAAAAUAUGAGUACUACUUACAUCAAUCCUUUUUACUCAUUUUGCAGCAACCAUUUCUUGCUACUAUGCAUUUUCUAUUGCCACUUCUAUGUGAUUUUUAUUUUAUACAAAUAUAAUUUCAUAUGUAUGUCUUUAUAUGGCACAUUGGGCCAAUUCUGAAUUUUUUUUAGAACUCUGAAUAUCUUGCUAUGCAUUGCCGCUUCUGAAUUUCUAGUUUCUCCAUUUGUUGGUUUGAUUAACUUGAACCUCUAGUUUUAGUUGGAGCAACGAUAGUUUGCGAAUUAACUUUGUACUACAAAUGAGUGGCCAUUGAUAAAGAUAUUUGCAAGUACAUGAAGCUCAUGUUUAUUGGCCGAGAAUAUCUUUGAGCCAGUAAUGUCAGUUUCAGUUAAUAAAGUUGUUAAAGCACUUUUUUACUUCACUAGUUCUUGAAUUUUUCUGUAACAUUCUAACAUGUAUAAUGUCUAUGAAUUUAAUGUAGCUCCAUACAUAAUUACGGUUCUUUUUUAUGUGUACCUAAUAACUCUUUUUUCACAGUUAUAUUCCAAAUCUAAAGCAUGGUGUUCAAGAUUUAUAAUUGAUAUAUUUGUGCCUCCUGGUUUGAGCUGAAGUGUCAAGAGUUAUCCAAUUUUUUGUAUUAUUAUAAAAAAUAUGUAAGUUUUCUCCAACUCAAAUGUUUAUCUGUUACUGCGGCUACUUCAUUUUGAAAGAGGUUAAUCAUUUUACAGGAUUGGAUUGCACUAGCAGUGUUUAAGCUGCCUAUCUGUGGGAGUAUUAAUUUAAGAGUUUAAUGUGCAUCUUUUAUUUUCUUAAUGGCCAACUUAUCUAAACCCGUACCUGACCUAUCCUCAAAUUUAUAUAUAUAGGUAGUAAAUAGCUAGUCAUGCCAUGGAAAGCUUGCAUGAUCAUUCUGCUAAGUUGCAGCAAGAAUUUGCAUUGCUAAUUUCAAUAUUAUUCCCAUAUUUGUUUUCUGUAUUUGUAGGUUUAGGUGCCUGUAAAUUAUUUUUUCAAGUAAGAUUGUAUAAUUUAGUGACAUGAGCUUUCCGGUUUAACAAAACUAAGUGGUUUAGUAUAAUGUACAGUGUGUCUUUAAACAAAUCCAUCUACCAUUUGCAAGUUGUUUUUAUCGGUAGUUUAUGCUUUGAUGAUUGUGACAAUGUGUUUACCUAUCUGACAUAUAAAUAUUUCUCAUAUGUUUUAAUUGGAUACUUUGGUAAGCAAUAGUGGGAAUUUUCUAGUCGCAUCUGCUACUAUUUUUAGUUGUCUUUUAUUUUUUAGAUGUGCAUCAGGCAUAUAUGUUCCUCAUUCUUUCUUAGAACAUGAUAGGUAGGCUCCUCAUUUUCUUUAGCAUAUGUAUGCCGAGCAUAUGAGUUUGUUUCAUUUUUGUGGAGAACCUGUCCAUUAGCUUUUGUUUGGCUGUAUUUUGGAAACAUGAUCAUUUUUUUAUAGCUGAAUUCUGUUGUCUUCUUAUAUUACCUAAAAUUUCAGAAUUAUUAUACUAGAAUUACACCCUCAAUUAGUAUUGUAAUUUUCUAGUUUGUUACCGUGAAAUAUGAAAAUGUGCAUUACAUCAUUAGGAUUUCUAUGCCAAAUUUUACCCAAGUCUUUUUUUUAUUUCUCCCUAGACUAUUUUUUUCUGGGAUUGAAGGAGUAUAGUUGAGGAGUUGAGGGAGGGAGAACUCAAGUGAAGAACUCCUGCUUUGUUUGUAGUGGCUAUAAAAUGAUAAGUAACUAGGUUCCCUAAUUUAAAAGCUUUCUUUGUAUUCUCUGAUUUAAUAAAAAACCGAUAGCUUAUGUUCUUGUUGCAUGUACUUGUCAUGCUUUGUUCGAGCUAAAGAACUACCAGAUUCAAUCUCUCUUUUUUUUCUAAUUUGUUUGUUUGUCAUUGUUGUUCUGAUUUAAAAAUGAUUGUUCUCUGUUCUAAUGUGGUCAAUAUCAGUGUGGUGUAUAUAAAGUCAUAAGCAUUUAGGUUUGCAGCGACCACCCCUCAAUCAUUCCCUUUUCACCUGUGCUUCCGGUUAUUCUCGAGAUAGUUUAGAAAAAAAAAUGCUUAUGAGUAUCAGUUAAUGUUGUAGUAGUCCCGGGUAAAUUGUAAGCUACCAAUUCAUAACUAGGAUUGUUUGCUACUUGUUGUUAAAAGAACAUUGCUUUAUGUACCGUCUUAACAUACUUUGGGUUCUGAAUUUUUGCAUUUUCGUUGUGGUUACCAUAUAAGCAUUGAUAGGCUAGUUGAUUCAACGAGUUCUAAUGGCCACUGGUGUUAUUUGUGGUUGUUGAUGGGUCACUUUUGAUUUUAAUUAAUUAGCACUUCUGAUCAGUUGUUAUAAAAUUACAAGUAACUUAUGCUAGAAUUACACUAUGAUUUAGUCAUGUAAUUUUCUAUUAUGGUACUGUAAAAUAUAUCUUUAUAUUUACAAAUUAUUAUCUUCACUUGAUACUAAUGGUGUUAGAGGGAUUUACAAGUCCUGUGGCAUCUUUACUGAAGCUAAGUGAUGAUAGAUUAGCCUUGCUGCUUUGGUGCCUUGCUUGGAUAAACUGUCCUCUUCAACUUGAUCUGUAUGCUAUCUCUUUAUUUAAUUAUAAGUCAUAAGUACAUUUAUAGCAUCCAACUUUAACAAAUCAAUAUUUUUAAGUUAAAUGAUAAUAGUUGUAGCUACUUGCCCAUUGUGACAGCAUUCACUGACUAUUAUAAUUAUGAUAUGGUACUGUGACAAUGCUUGGCAUGUCUCUUUUCGUUAUAUUGUCAAUUGCUAUAGAAGAUAUGGUACUGUGACAAAUCUAUUUUUUAUAUUAUAAUUCUUUUUCCUUUGCUAUAGAAGAUUACUAUCAAUAAGAAGCUGAAGGACCGGUUGUCUGGGCUAAAGGACUUUGUUCCAACUGCUAUUCCUGAAGAUGACCCAGCUGAAGAAGAAUGUCAUAUUGUUUGUGGUGAAGCUCAUGAUGGUGGUGGUGUUAAUGAGAUUCCUGGUGUUUCUUUUUCUCCUGUGCCUCCUCAAGUUAGCCAAGGAAAAAGUGCUAGUUUCAAUUAUCUUCUUGACAAAGAUGUUUCUACUCAUGUUUCAAGUCAGGUCCAACCACCAUGUGUAUCUUGAUUGACUUAAUACUUUGUUAUGCAAAUUUAUCUGUUAUUUUUUAAGUUACUGUAGAGUAGCUGUUGUUGACGAGCCCGUCUAGCUCCGGCGGCUGUAGAAAAAUCCAUUGAAUGGAUUGUGGUGAUUGGACUUUAGGGGCUAGUCAACCAGUCUCUCUACUUUAACAGAAUGUGAUCUCAAUGUGGUGUACUUAUUUCUAUUUGUUCUUUCUUUUAAAUUUACUCCAUAUCAUGUCUAUGUAAUUUCUAUAUUAUCUCUAUAUAUUUUAAGCCUUAGGAAGAUAGGUUAAUUCUUUGACUAGUGUUACUGUCAAGGUUUAUGCAACUUAGAUAGGUCUGGACUUAGUAAUGGAUGGUUGUGAUCAAGGUUUACCAUGUCAUUGUCCGAACUCCUUUGACUAGUGUUAUCACCAUCUCAGCUUGACAAUUUGUCUUGCUGAUCACUUUGGUCUUCCGCUUCCUAGCUGCAGGAAUUGGCUGAGCUUCACCAUUCAUCAUAGGGAAGUUCUUCCUUUUGUUUGUUAAUUUGCUAACUUGCACGGCAGAAGUUGUUUGCUGUUCACCAUAUGUUUGUUCCUCAAAUGAUUUGCCCCUCCUGUUGCAUUUGAUUGUCAUCCUCGUAACCAUGCCCAUCGUAUCUUUCUGUCUCGAGUGGUAGUUUCCACACUUGACAAUAGAAAAACCAACAAUCAAAGCUUAUUGAUUGUAAAAUUUAUAAGCCUCAUCAGCAUUUUGAAACUGCAUGUCUAUCUUUGAAACAUGUUGCGUUUCUCCUUCCUGACUUAAAGGAAAUGCCUCCUCCAAACUCUCAUUUUGCUUGAACAAUUCAAUGUCUUCUUCAAUGAUUUCAUUGUCGAGGCCUUCUUCUUCUCUGAUUUCAUUCUCCUAUCCUUGUGCUUGAACUACUGCUUCUGUUGUAUUGCUUUCAAAAACGGUAAAAUUCUCAUUGUGGUUGAACAUUUCAAAGACUUCUUCUUGGCCUUGUGCUUGUACUGCUGUUGCCCUUGUGUUGUUUUCAAAUUCUGCCAAAUUUCUGCUUCAAUUGAUAUACAUGCAUCUUGAUCUAAGUUAUUACUAUUUCCUUAACGAAACUGCUCUGUUGUUGUGCACAGGUGGCUGUCAUCUGGUUGGGGCAAGUUCUGCCGCUCUUUCCUGCUUAGUCAUUGCAUUGAUGUCUAUUGUUUUUUUUCUUUUUUUUUCAGUGAUGUUUGUUGGCCUGCGUACAUUACAAUAGAAGGGGCCCACCUACAAUGCAGUCAUUUCAUUUCUAUUUGAUUUUAAAUGAUAUUUAUUUUACCCGAUGUUAAUUACAGCCCAUUAAUGCUGUUUUUAUAGUAUUUUUUAAUACCAUAA